AUACGUAGGGGGCGAGCGUUGUCCGGAAUGAUUGGGCGUAAAGGGCGCGUAGGCGGCCUGUUAAGUCUGGAGUGAAAGUCCUGUUUUCAAGAUGGGAAUUGCUUUGGAUACUGAUGGGCUUGAGUGCAGGAGAGGUUAUCGGAAUUCCCGGUGUAGCGGUGAAAUGCGUAGAGAUCGGGAGGAACACCAGUGGCGAAGGCGGGUAACUGGACUGCAACUGACGCUGAGGCGCGAAAGUGUGGGGAGCAAACAGGAUUAGGUACCCUGGUAGUCCACACUGUAAACGAUGAAUGCUAGGUGUAAGAGGUAUCGACCCCUUUUGUGCCGGAGUUAACACAAUAAGCAUUCCGCCUGGGGAGUACGGCCGCAAGGUUGAAACUCAAAGGAAUUGACGGGG
rnacentral:rRNA from 1 species